AUUGAACGCUGGCGGCAGGCUUAACACAUGCAAGUCGGGCGGGGUGAUGGUGCUUGCACUAUCACUUAGCGGCGGACGGGUGAGUAAUGCUUAGGAAUCUGCCUAUUAGUGGGGGACAACAUCUCGAAAGGGAUGCUAAUACCGCAUACGUCCUACGGGAGAAAGCAGGGGAUCACUUGUGACCUUGCGCUAAUAGAUGAGCCUAAGUCGGGUUAGCUAGUUGGUGGGGUAAAGGCCUACCAAGGCGACGAUCUGUAGCGGGUCUGAGAGGAAGAGCCGACAAACUGGGACUGGGACACGGACCAGACUCCUAAGGGAGGCAGCAGUGGAGAAUAUUGAACAAUGGGCGAAAGCCUGAUCCGGCCUUGCCGCGUGUGUGAAGAAGGUCUUCGGAUUGUAAAGCACUUUAAGUUGGGAGGAAGGGUUGUAACCUAAUACGUUGCAAUUUUGGCGUUACCGACAGAAUAAGCACCGGCUAACUUCGUGCCAGCCGCCGCCGUAA
rnacentral:rRNA from 1 species